AGAGUUUGAUCCUGGCUCAGAUUGAACGCUGGCGGCAGGCCUAACACAUGCAAGUCGAACGGUAACAGGAAGCAGCUUGCUGCUUCGCUGACGAGUGGCGGACGGGUGAGUAAUGUCUGGGAAACUGCCUGAUGGAGGGGGAUAACUACUGGAAACGGUAGCUAAUACCGCAUAACGUCGCAAGACCAAAGAGGGGGACCUUAGGGCCUCUUGCCAUCGGAUGUGCCCAGAUGGGAUUAGCUAGUAGGUGGGGUAACGGCUCACCUAGGCGACGAUCCCUAGCUGGUCUGAGAGGAUGACCAGCCACACUGGAACUGAGACACGGUCCAGACUCCUACGGGAGGCAGCAGUGGGGAAUAUUGCACAAUGGGCGCAAGCCUGAUGCAGCCAUGCCGCGUGUAUGAAGAAGACCUUCGGGUUGUAAAGUACUUUCGGCGGGGAGGAAGGGAGUAAGGUUAAU
rnacentral:rRNA from 1 species